UUAAUCUAUUUAAUUCUGGUUGUGGGAAGUUUGGGAGUAAAUUUACAUAAGAGACUUGUUUGAGGGUAAUGUGAGGCAUUUGUUCUCGUUAUUUCUUAGUAAUUAGAUCUCGGAGGUAGGAGGGAUCCUGAUUGGGUUGCUUUCAGUAGAGUGGUGGAUACUCAGUGCCAGCAUCCGCGGUUAUUCUGUUAGCUUUUCUUCCUGUAUGUUCGGUAUAAAGUGUUUAAAAUUAAGAUGUAGAUUUGAGUAGAAUCUUUCUGCUGUUGAGAAAAUAUUUUAGUGACUUGACUUUACUGUGGUAAAAGAGGAUUAGAUACCCUCGUAUUUGUAAUUUGAGUUUUUGUCCUUAGUAUAAACUAAAAGAAUUUGGCAGCCGGCAAAAUUCUACCGGGGGAACGUGUAUCGUAAUAGACAGUCCGCUUAGUAUCCUACCCUAGUUAGUUUUGUUAGUGUAUAUCCGGUUUAAAAUUUGUGGUUAGUGCCGAUGAGUGUAAUUUGGGUAUUUAAGCCAGGUCAAUGUGCUGUUAAUAUUGGGGUGUUUAUGCGUUACUGUAAUAAAUUUGUCGCUGGGAAGUGUGGUGAUUAUAUUCAGGACUCGGAAGUAGGCGGAUUUGUGGUUUAAGGGAGUUAGGACUUUCUGUCGAAGAGGAUUUUAGUUGGGGUACACACCGCCCGUCACCCAGGGCGUUAGCUGUGGUAAGUCGUAACAUGGUAAUGCUGGGGGAACCUAGCGUUAGUUGUCUUGUAAGUUUAUCUUACGGUCUA
rnacentral:rRNA from 1 species